rnacentral:rRNA from 1 species
UACAGAGGUCCCAAGCGUUGUUCGGAUUCAUUGGGCGUAAAGGGUGCGUAGGUGGCGCCGUAAGUCAGGUGUGAAAUUUCGGAGCUUAACUCCGAAACUGCAUUUGAUACUGCGGUGCUUGAGGACUGGAGAGAAGACUGGAAUUUACGGUGUAGCAGUGAAAUGCGUAGAGAUCGUAAGGAAGACCAGUGGCGAAGGCGGGUCUCUGGACAGUUCCUGACACUGAGGCACGAAGGCCAGGGGAGCAAACGGG